AUCAAUUUCUUCCAGCUUUCUAAUAUCUCUCCCAUUAAGCCUUCUGAGGAGAGGAACUACACCUGUUUUAUCUUGGUAACUAGCACUUUGCACCAUGCCUGACACAGAGGAGGUGUUUUAAAACUGUCUUUCAAUGGAUUACCACAGAAAAAAGUUGCUCACCUCUAGAAGAUGCUAGAGCAGGUACAGUGGAAAGAGCAUGGACUUGGAGGGCAGACAAAGGCAUGGACUUCGUGUUGAACUGCAGGUUUGAGCCAAGGAAUGGUGAGGUGUGAGCUCUACAUUAUGCUGAGAUGGCUAUGUACAAGUAUAUCCAGAAUGACGGUGGAUACGUUGAAAGUCCAAUCAACUGUGCUAAAUCUUGAAUCAGUUCUCUCUGUUGCCUUUUGCAGGUUGUUUAAGUUUUGUAUAGAAGUGGAUAUUUUGAACAUUGAAACUGCACAAGGGCUUUAUGGUUGCUCUGCUCACCUCUAUUUCUUCUUCUCCUGCUAGGAAACCCCAUUAUCCUCAGAACAAGUCUCUCCACCUCCUGCUCUUGCCUGAUGCUGUAUGGCUCUGAUGGCUUGUCCUGUGUCCCCUUAGCCCAGGUGCUAAGUGGUCUCUGUUCCCUUAAAAUAACUGUUUUGGGAUGUUAUGGGUCCUGUUUUAAAAAUCCCCUCAUCCCUCUUCUUUUCUCUCUUCUAAAGGGCAGCCUUACCAUCUCCUUUUAAGAACAGAAGUCUUUUCUUUCUGCCUCUUAAAGUCAGUAGCUGGUUUGUCACCCAAUAACAAAAGCCCACAAUAUCCUGACCUCAAAGACUAGGAAGGUAGGUGGUGCUAAGGUCAGGGAUUGGGAGUCUUAGAGAGCCAGCAACACAGUGUCAUCUCUCUGAAAAGUAAAUUUCCAGUAGCUAGCAAGAGAUUUACAAAUGCUGAAAUCUCUUAGUCUACUAAUUCCUUUCAUACAAUCAAAGAUAUGUGCAAAGAUUUAUGUUCAUCAUACUGUCACUCCUCAUAGAGAAAAGCAUGGGAGUAACACCCAUGUCUGUCAGUAGGGCUUGGAUGGAUAAAGUCUAUUAUUGAGUCCUUUGCAAUCAUUCAAAAUCAUGUUUGAAUAUAAUAGAUGGGAAAAUGAUCAUACUAUAAUGCUAAUUGAAAAAAGAUAUAAA
rnacentral:lncRNA from 1 species